CACGUAUUUAGCCGGAGCUUCUUAGUCAGGUACCGUCAUUUUCUUCCCUGCUGAUAGAGCUUUACAUACCGAAAUACCUCUUCGCUCACGCGGCGUCGCUGCAUCAGGGUUUCCCCCAUUGUGCAAUAUUCCCCACUGCUGCCUCCCGUAGGAGUUUGGGCCGUGUCUCAGUCCCAAUGUGGCCGGUCACCCUCUCAGGUCGGCUACUGAUCGUCGCCUUGGUAGGCCGUUACCCCACCAACCAGCUAAUCAGACGCGGGCCCAUCUUGCACCACCGGAGUUUUUCACACUGUCUCAUGCGAGACCGUGCGCUUAUGCGGUAUUAGCAGCCGUUUCCAGCUGUUGUCCCCCUGUGUAAGGCAGGUUGCCCACGCGUUACUCACCCGUCCGCCACUCAGUCAUAUGAACCUUCAUUCCGAAAAAUCAAGUUCUAAUGACUUCGUUCGACUUGCAUGUGUUAGGCACGCCGCCAGCGUUCAUCCUGACGCAGGAUACUAAA
rnacentral:rRNA from 1 species